CCUUCAUAAGUUCAGUCACUUUCAUGUCGCAGGAGAUAACAAAGAGGUGAGAAGAACCUUUAACUGAGCGUCUGUGUCUUGUUCUUGUCUCAGGGCAACUCGUUCGUCUUCCCCGUCCCUCCGGACAUUAAAGGACUGACAGGUCAACAGGGACUAGAAGGACAGAAGGGGCUGAGGGGAGAUCCAGGUGAACUUGGCCUGUCAGGACCACCAGGACCUGCCGGACGUCCUGUACGCUUCAAAUCUCAAACUGUCAAACUUUAUUUUAAAAACAGCAGAAAUUCCCUAAACUCACGUCAGCUGUUUUUUUUUUGUUGUUGUUUGUUUUUAGGGAGGUCCAGGGUUGCCGGGGUUACUGGGAGAGAAGGUCAGUGUGCGGAGAGGCUGAACUGAUCUGAGAGCAGUUCUGUAUCUUCCCAGUUUUACUCAUAAAUAAUCUGGUUCAUAACCAGUGUCAUGAAAAAACAUCACAUUCUCUCGGAAAAGACAAUUUCUUUCAAAUAUGUUGAAUAUGAAAAAUCUCUGAAGUCCCAGUUUCACAACCCUGAGCCACGAAAGUCUGUGAAAUAGAUGAAUAUGAAUAUGUCAUUUUGCUUUCUUCUUUAAAAAUGUUUCAUACAUAAGUUUGAAAGUCAUGUUCAUAUUUAAAAAAUCGAUACAUUACAUUUCAUGACUCUUUCACGAACAGUUGUGGGGGUGAGUUGCAUUUGAUCUUGUUCACAUUCAUCAUUAUAGUAUCUAUAAUAUCUGUCUGUAGUUAACACACAAGGGAUUUUAUUUCCGAAUCAUUGGAGGUUCUGUUUUAUCACGUGACCUCGUUCCGGCGUCAUCUGGUCCUGAUGGCAUCGUGUUUGUGUCUCAGGGUCAGGAGGGGCCUAGUCCAGUGAUCCCAGGGCCCCGAGGACAGACGGUGAGCUCACACUUACGCUGCAAAC
rnacentral:lncRNA from 1 species